AUUGAACGCUGGCGGCAGGCCUAACACAUGCAAGUCGAGCGGUAACAGAAAGAAAGCUUGCUUUCUUUGCUGACGAGCGGCGGACGGGUGAGUAAUGCCUGGGAAUAUACCCUGAUGUGGGGGAUAACUAUUGGAAACGAUAGCUAAUACCGCAUAAUCUCUUCGGAGCAAAGAGGGGGACCUUCGGGCCUCUCGCGUCAGGAUUAGCCCAGGUGGGAUUAGCUAGUUGGUGGGGUAAUGGCUCACCAAGGCGACGAUCCCUAGCUGGUCUGAGAGGAUGAUCAGCCACACUGGGAACUGAGACACGGGUCCAGACUCCUACGGGAGGCAGCAGUGGGGAAUAUUGCACAAUGGGGGAAACCCUGAUGCAGCCAUGCCGCGUGUAUGAAGAAGGCCUUCGGGUUGUAAGUACUUUCAGUUGUGAGG
rnacentral:rRNA from 1 species